rnacentral:rRNA from 1 species
CUUGGUGCUUGCACUGGGUGGAUGAGUGGCGAACGGGUGAGUAAUACGUGAGUAACCUGCCCUUGACUCUGGGAUAAGCCUGGGAAACUGGGUCUAAUACUGGAUAUGACCUCCUGUCGCAUGGUGGGGGGUGGAAAGGGUUUGUACUGGUUGUGGAUGGGCUCACGGCCUAUCAGCUUGUUGGUGGGGUAAUGGCCUACCAAGGCGACGACGGGUAGCCGGCCUGAGAGGGUGACCGGCCACACUGGGACUGAGACACGGCCCAGACUCCUACGGGAGGCAGCAGUGGGGAAUAUUGCACAAUGGGCGCAAGCCUGAUGCAGCGACGCCGCGUGAGGGAUGACGGCCUUCGGGUUGUAAACCUCUUUCAGCACGGAAGAAGCGAAAGUGACGGUACGUGCAGAAGAAGCGCCGGCUAACUACGUGCCAGCAGCCGCGGUAAUACGUAGGGCGCAAGCGUUGUCCGGAAUUAUUGGGCGUAAAGAGCUCGUAGGCGGUUUGUCGCGUCUGCUGUGAAAGCCCGGGGCUUAACCCCGGGUGUGCAGUGCGUACGGGGCAGACUUGAGUGCAGUAGGGGAGACUGGUACUCCUGAUGUAGCGAUGAAAUGCGCAGAUAUCAGGAAGAACACCGAUGGCGAAGG